AGCGAGGCUGGCUGUAUGUUUAUCCAGUCUCAUGUCAAUAACUAAAAAUUGAGCACAGACUGGAUAAUCAUAUAUUAAAGUCGCCAUUACUUUUGGAUCCUGACAGGAAGGAGGAGUUACAAUCUUUCAAGAAGGUUGCUUAUAAAUUGGUUUUGGGUUUGUGAAAUAUCUUUACAAGUAAACUGUUUUCAAAAUGCCAUAUCCUACCUAUCAGGCUCGAGAUUCGGAUAAUAUCCGUAAACUGAAACAACAGGCUGAAGUAUUGAGAAUACAUGCUGACAUGAGGCGUACUAGACUUAGUGACACCUUAAGAGAACUAGUUGUUUACAUCGAGCAAAAUAUAGCAACUGAUCAUCUUAUACAUCCAGAGAAAGAGAAUCCCUUUAAACCACGAAAACCAUGUCAGAUUUUAUAAACUCAAACAGUUUUCAUGUUUACUGGUCUUCCUCUCUUCUGUGCAUCAUCAAAGCUGAUAGAGGCUAUUUAUUUUUAUUUUUUAAAAGAAAAGACAAUAAAAGUUCAUAAUAAAAAAUGUUUAUCCUGUAAAUAGCAUUCAAAUGCCAAUGGAAAAUUACAAAACGAAGCAUUUAAUAUGUAAUUAUUUGAACACUUGAAAAAGUGUCAAGUUUAGGUACCAUACUUACAAGAACACAACUUCAAUUUAUUGUACAAUAUAUUAUAGUGUAUUUCUUUUGUAUAGUAGUGCAUGUGUAUAAAAACAGAUGUCAUUAUUAAACUGUGACUUAAUUUUUGCCUGAAUGUUUUGUAUUAUUUUUGUUAAAUGUUUGCAUGUUUUUGUUAUACAUUGGACUUAUCUUCUUUAGAAUGUUCCACAGAAUAUAUACAAAUUCGAAAGAAUUGCAUGUAUUUUCGAUAUGAAUAUGACUUAAAAACAUAUUUAAAAUUGUCACCAACUUUUAGUUUUACAUUCACAGACUAAUGACCUGUUUUGUUAUAAGUCUUAAUUUCCUGUCACAUCCAAAAAGUGUCAGAUAUCCAUGAAAUUUAAAAUGGCCACCAACAAUUAGACUUCAAUAACUUACACAUGAAUGUUCAUAAAGAUAAAGGAAGCUAUGGUCUACUCUCAGGUUUCUAAUGAAAACCAGAAUCACAUGUAUCCUGUGGAAAUAGAGGUGAUCAUGAAAUUUAUUUCUGGAAUUAGAAAGACAUAUCACAGUAGUACUACCUAAUGAAGUCCCUAACAUUUCAACUGACCCAUCCCUUCCUUGUUAUUUCUGUCAGAUCUGGUCAUUAAAUGUAGAUCCUGACAUUAAAAUCUUUGAAUUUCUGAAAUAUUAAACUGCUUUAACAAAGAUGGAAUCUCAAGCAAUAAAAUUUUACUUUUUGAAUUAAUCUGAUAUUUAAAGCAGAUACAUGAAAAUUGAGUUUGAUAUUGGGCCAUAUACAUGUAUGAAAAUUUGAUCUGAAAUGGAGGCAAAUAUAUGAAAUUUGAAUCUGAAACCGGAAGCAAAUAUAUGAAAAUUAAUCCAGCUUAAAUUUUCCUAAUAAUUUGGAAUGAGUCCCUGACAGUUGUAAUAAUAUAUAUCUUGAUUGACAAUAAUAUCUUAAUUACAUUAAACUACUUAUUAAAAGAUAUGUCCAAUGUUUGAAUAAUUGUCAUUAUUGGUGUUGUUAUUAUUCUAACUAAUAUUAAAUAAAUAAUAUAAUCAAAUGUAUCUAUAUAUAAAUAAAAUUUUAUGUUGCGUUUGAUAUAAAGUUUAGAAGUAAACAUGUUUAGUUGGAUCUGUGAUAAAUAUGUUAUUCUAUAAAUUCGGACAUUGAAUUUAGCCAUUGCAAUUUAUAGUUUGUUUAUUUUAUUAUGGUUAGAAAUUGAAAUUUAAAUGAAAUGAAAACUUUAGUCGUUGAUAUAAAAAAAAACCCCAUUAAAAUCACUUCUGUUCAUUAGUUUGAACAAAUUAUUCAUAUAUGUUCCUUGUAGUAUUUUGAAGGAAAAAAAAUAAAAGCAAAUUGGUUUUCAUAGACGAUGUAAAUUUUCUCAUUUUGCAUGAUCUAAAUAUAUAUAUACAGGACCCGUUUGAGAAUUGUGGAGAAACAAAGUAUAUUGGGUGCAAACAUCAGAAUUGAGAAUUUGGUUGUAGGAAUAUUCCCACUUUUCAAAUUCUUAUAUAUCUGACACAACAUAUAUUUAAAUAAAUCCAAACUUUGUUUUUACUCAAAUUAAAGGGUUCCUGUACCUGUUUCUUUGUUGUCCUUCCUAUUUCAUAGUGUAUUUUUUUCUGCAAAUAAAAGUGUUCAUUAUUCUGUA